UACAGAGGUCCCAAGCGUUGUUCGGAUUCAUUGGGCGUAAAGGGUGCGUAGGUGGCGCCGUAAGUGGGGUGUGAAAUUUCGGAGCUUAACUCCGAAACUGCAUUCCAUACUGCGGUGCUUGAGGACUGGAGAGGAGACUGGAAUUUACGGUGUAGCAGUGAAAUGCGUAGAGAUCGUAAGGAAGACCAGUGGCGAAGGCGGGUCUCUGGACAGUUCCUGACACUGAGGCACGAAGGCCAGGGGAGCAAACGGGG
rnacentral:rRNA from 1 species